rnacentral:rRNA from 1 species
AGUGAACGCUGGCGGUAGGCCUAACACAUGCAAGUCGAACGGCAGCACAGAGGAGCUUGCUCCUUGGGUGGCGAGUGGCGGACGGGUGAGGAAUACAUCGGAAUCUACUCUGUCGUGGGGGAUAACGUAGGGAAACUUACGCUAAUACCGCAUACGACCUACGGGUGAAAGCAGGGGAUCUUCGGACCUUGCGCGAUUGAAUGAGCCGGUGUCGGAUUAGCUAGUUGGCGGGGUAAAGGCCCACCAAGGCGACGAUCCGUAGAUGGUCUGAGAGGAUGAUCAGCCACGCUGGAACUGAGACACGGUCCAGACUCCUACGGGAGGCAGCAGUGGGGAAUAUUGGACAAUGGGCGCAAGCCUGAUCCAGCCAUACCGCGUGGGUGAAGAAGGCCUUCGGGUUGUAAAGCCCUUUUGUUGGGAAAGAAAUCCAUCUGGUUAAUACCCGGGUGGGAUGACGGUACCCAAAGAAUAAGCACCGGCUAACUUCGUGCCAGCCGCCGCCGUAA